UACGUAGGGUCCAAGCGUUAUCCGGAAUCACUGGGCGUAAAGAGUGCGUAGGCGGAAGUCUAAGUGAGAUAUGAAAGCGUGUGGCUCAACCAUACAACUGUAUCUCAUACUGGACAUCUAGAGGACGGCAGAGGCAAGUGGAAUUACUGGUGUAGCAGUGAAAUGCGUAGAUAUCAGUAGGAACACCAAUGGCGAAGGCAGCUUGCUGGGCCGACCCUGACGCUAAGGCACGAAAGCGUGGGGAGCGAACAGG
rnacentral:rRNA from 1 species